rnacentral:rRNA from 1 species
CCUACGGGAGGCAGCAGUGGGGAAUAUUGGACAAUGGGGGCAACCCUGAUCCAGCCAUGCCGCGUGUGUGAAGAAGGCCCUCGGGUUGUAAAGCACUUUCAGUGAGGAAGAACGCCUGGUGGUUAAUACCCAUCAGGAAAGACAUCACUCACAGAAGAAGCACCGGCUAACUCCGUGCCAGCAGCCGCGGUAAUACGGAGGGUGCGAGCGUUAAUCGGAAUUACUGGGCGUAAAGCGCGCGUAGGUGGCUUGAUAAGCCGGUUGUGAAAGCCCCGGGCUCAACCUGGGAACGGCAUCCGGAACUGUCAAGCUAGAGUGCAGGAGAGGAAGGUAGAAUUCCCGGUGUAGCGGUGAAAUGCGUAGAGAUCGGGAGGAAGACCAGUGGCGAAGGCGGCCUUCUGGACUGACACUGACACUGAGGUGCGAAAGCGUGGGUAGCAAACAGGAUUAGAUACCCCUGUAGUC